CAGUCGCCACGGUAAUACGUAGGGGGCAAGCGUUGUCCGGAAUCAUUGGGCGUAAAGCGCGUGUAGGCGGCUCGAAAAGUUCGCUGUGAAAGUCCAAGGCUCAACCUUGGAAUGCCGGUGAAAACUAUCGAGCUAGAGUCCGGAAGGGGAGUGUGGAAUUCCUGGUGUAGCGGUGAAAUGCGCAGAUAUCAGGAGGAACACCAAUGGCGAAGGCAGCACUCUGGGACGUGACUGACGCUGAGACGCGAAAGCGUGGGGAGCAAACAGGAUUAGAUACCCGCGUAGUCCCUGUCUCUUAUAC
rnacentral:rRNA from 1 species